rnacentral:ncRNA from 1 species
AAGGUUGGUCCUAGCCUUAAAAUCAAUUUUUACUUAACCUACACAUGCAAGUUUCCGCACCCCCGUGAAAAUGCCCUUUAACCUUUCCAGGAAAAAGGAGCCGGUAUCAGGCGCUAUUCUUAAGCCCAUCACACCUAGCUUCGCCACACCCUCAAGGGGACCCAGCAGUGACCAACAUUAAAAAUAAACGUCAGUUUGAUCUAGUUAGAGUAAAUAGAGCCGGCAAAUCUGGUGCCAGCCGCCGCGGUUACACCACGCGACUCAAAUUGAUCUGAGCCGGCGUAAAGCGUGAUUAAGCACCCUAAUAUUAGAAUUAAACUUAAACUAGGCUGUAGCACGCUUGUUCCUAAGAAACACAAAUACGAAAGUUAUUCUAAUUAACCUCAUCUGAACUCACGACAACUAGAACACAAACUAGGAUUAGAUACCCUACUAUGCCUAGUCGUAAACUUUAACUUACACCCACAACGCCUGGGAACUACAAGCUAAGCUUAAAACCCAAAGGACUUGACGGUGCUCCACAUCCCCCUAGAGGAGCCUGUCCUAUAAUCGAUAAUCCCCGCUAAACCUCACCACUUUUUGCCUCUCAGCCUGUAUACUUCCGUCGUCAGCUCACCCCAUCAGGGACACUCAGUGAGCUCAAUGUCUGUACAUCAAUACGUCAGGUCUAAGUGCAGCAAAUAAAGUGGGAAGAGAUGGGCUACACUCUCUAAACUAGAAAAAACAAAAACUCUGAAUGAAACCCAGAGAAUAAGGUGGAUUUAGUAGUAAAAAGAAAACAUAAUGUCCUUUUUAAUCAGGUUCUGGAGUGUGUACACACCGCCCGUCACCCUCUUCAAAGCUCUACCCCUAGUACUUAACAAAUUUCUCUGCAAAAGAAGAGGCAAGUCGUAACAUGGUAAGCAUACCGGAAGGUGUGCUUGGAAA